rnacentral:rRNA from 1 species
GUCUUUUUGGUAUUUAAUAUAAAGUCUGACCUGCCCACUGAAUAUAGUUUGAAGGGCCGCAGUAUUUUGACUGUGCAAAGGUAGCAUAAUCAUUAGUCUUUUAAUUGAAGGCUGGUAUGAAUGGUUGGAUGAGAUACAAGCUGUGUCAUAAAAAUUAAUAUUUGAAUUUACCUUUUUAGUCAAAAGGCUAAAAUAAUUUUAAAAGACGAGAAGACCCCAUAGAGCUUUAUAUAAUUAAUAUUUAAAUUAUUAAGAUUUUUAAGAUUUAAAUAUUAAAUUGUAUUUUGUUGGGGUGACAAUAAAAUUUAUAAAACUUUUAUUUUUAUUUAACAUUAAUUUAUGAUUAAAUGAUCCAGUUUUAUUGAUUAUAAAUUUAAGUUACCUUGGGGAUAACAGCGUAAUUUUUUUUGAGAGUUCUUAUCGACAAAAAAGAUUGCGACCUCGAUGUUGGAUUAAGAGUAAUUUUGGGUGUAGAAGUUCAAAGUUUAAGUCUGUUCGACUUUUAAAUUCUUACAU